rnacentral:lncRNA from 1 species
UUUUUUGUUUUCGAUUCCUCUUCUGCUUUUGUUUUUGUUUUUUUAACUUCCCUAAUUUUGCUUGAACUGAUUUUUUGCUUACAGUCUAUCGGGAUACCCUAAUUUUUACCUAAGCCACUUGUUUUCAAGUUUCGACUUAACGAUCUUUCUUUUUUUUUAUAAUUUUUUUUUGGUGGAAUAAAUCGUGUGACAUUUGUUCAUUUGGUUUGAAAUAUUUGUGACUGUCUCACUUUUUUUUGGCGAGGGACAACCAUUGGGUUUGUGAUUUCGACCUCUAUUGAAGGAAAU